GAAUUAUCGCGGCGGCGCGCAGGCAGCAUAGAGCUGUAUUAUAGAUAGAGCGCAUCGUUCAUAAAGCGCUCUGUAAAACGAUCAUCACACAGCCUUUUAAUUUGCAAUUUAUCGAAUAGAUACUUAACACGAACACUUAGAGAUUUAGACCCGUAGAACAAUGUUUUAGAACGCUUAAACUGCUUCAAAUGAAGCGGUGGGUGAGUCUAGUGUGUUCACUCUGGGUUGUGUUGAUUCCGCGCAUGCGCAAAGCGGCGCAGCGUUAUGUAAAGCGUCUCUGUUUUGACCCGGUUCUCUGGACUUUGGUGGACUUCGCUGUUCUGCAGUGGUUCUGCUAGAUGAUUUUAAUAAACUCUGAGAUGAUUUAAUCAUCUGGACUCUUAUAAACUCAUUCCCCGCUUCAGUAACCUCUCAGUGACUGCAGGGUUUAUAGUGUCUGGUCAUCGGCUGAGCAUCAUGUCCGUCAGCUCCAUCCACUGGUUCAGGAAGGGUCUGCGUCUGCAUGAUAACCCGGCUCUGCUGGAGGCCGCCCGGGGCUCACACACCCUGCGCUGCGUCUACUUCCUGGACCCCUGGUUCGCCGGGGCCUCCAACCGCGGCGUCAACCGCUGGAGGUUUCUGCUGCAGUGUCUGGAGGAUCUGGACUCCAGUCUUCGUAAACUCAACUCGUGUCUGUUCGUGAUCCGCGGUCAGCCGGCUAACAUCUUCCCGCGCCUCUUCAAGGAGUGGAAGGUGACUCGGCUGACGUUCGAGAGCGACUCGGAGCCGUUUGGGAAGGAGCGAGAUGCGGCGAUAAAGAAACUGGCGUCUGAAGCCGGAGUGGAGGUGAUCACCAAGAUCUCGCACACGCUGUACGAUCUGGACCGGAUCACGGAGCUGAACGGUGGCCAGCCGCCGCUGACGUACAAACGCUUCCAGACGCUGGUCAGCAGCAUGGAGCCGCCCGAACCUCCUCUGGAGCCGCUGACCCGAGAGCUGCUGGGAGACUGUGUGACGCCCAUCAGUGCCAACCACAGAGAGAGAUACGGGGUGCCCCUGCUGGACGAGCUGGGGUUUGACACUGAGUCUUUGGCUCCUGCGGUUUGGCCCGGAGGAGAAUCUGAGGCACUGAUGCGUCUGGAGCGACAGCUCGGACCCGACUCUACCGCGGCGUGGCAGGAGAACUUCGAGCGUCCGAAGAUGAGCUCCAGUCCUCUGAUGGCCAGUCCGCUGGGCUUGAGCCCGUACCUGCGCUUCGGCUGUUUGUCCUGCCGUCUCUUCUACUACAAACUCACUGAACUCCACAACAAGGUGAAGACGAACACAAGCCCGUCGAUCUCUCUCCACGACAAGCUCUUAUGGAGGGAGUUCUUCUACACAGCGGCCAGCAACAACCCGCGCUUCGACCGCAUGGAGGGAAACCCCAUCUGCAUCCGCAUCCCGUGGGACAGGAACCCCGAGGCGCUGGCCAAGUGGGCCGAGGCCAAGACGGGCUUCCCGUGGAUCGACGCCAUCAUGACCCAGCUGCGGCAGGAGGGCUGGAUCCAUCAUCUGGCGCGGCACGCCGUGGCCUGCUUCCUGACGCGAGGAGAUCUCUGGAUCAGCUGGGAGGAGGGCAUGAAGGUGUUUGAGGAGCUGCUCCUGGACGCAGACUGGAGUGUGAACGCCGGGAGCUGGCUCUGUCACUCCUGCAGCUCCUUCUUCCAGCAGUUCUUCCACUGCUACUGUCCCGUGGGAUUCGGACGCAGGAUCGACCCCAACGGAGACUUCAUCAGAUGUUACUUACCUGUACUCCGAGAUUUUCCAGCCAAGUUCAUCUAUGACCCCUGGAACGCACCGGAGGAGGUGCAGCGCGCCGCCAAAUGUGUGAUCGGCGUGGAUUACCCCAAACCCAUGGUGAACCACGCCGAGGCCAGCCGUCUGAACAUCGAGAGGAUGCGGCAGAUCUACCAGCAGCUCUCCAGAUACCGCGGACUCAGUCUUCUCGCAGCUGUUCCAUCCAACCACAUGGAGGUCAUCGGUGUCCGUGAAGCCCAAGGAGCAGCGGCGCCACCUACACGCCGGAGGACCGCGAGCGCCACUUCGUCUCAUCCAGGGGUCAGAAGAGAGCAGCCCGGACCGAGCGGAGUGAAACAUCGCGGCGCAAAACACCGAUACACCCUCAGUGAGACCAUGUGCUUUGUAGGGGCCACCGUACAUCGCCCUACACCCCCCAGAGCGACCUGUCGGAGCACGACCAUGAGUUUGCCGUUCCACAACAACCAGGGCGUCUGAUUUGGCCGGUUGGGGGCGGGACUGGAAAGAGAGAAAGGGAGGUGGAACCCAGCGGUUGCCAUGGUGAUGGAGGCCCCUCCCCCUCCUCGUCAGCGUUGAAAGCCCAAGAUGACGAGAAGCGGCGGGAGGAUGGGGAGGGUGUGGCUUUCUCUUCCUAAGCCCCACCCACUGAUGGAUUCGCAAAAUGACCUCGCGUGUUAAACACUAACAUUCAAAGUCAUUCAGAACAAUUAAACAGAGUGUCCAAUCAAAUUGUGGCGUAAAUGUAAUUUUAAAGUUUUUUAGUUUGUUCUAAAAUACACUAUUACAUAAUGUGAUUAUCUUAAAUAUAGAUUUUUAAAAUUAGAUGUAAAUACUGUUUUCAUUAACUUUUAAAGUGAAGGUCCUUUCACGCCAAACGAUAUAAACGAACAAGUUUGACGAAUAUUCGUCAGGUUGAACAAAAGCUACAUUUUUUAAUAACUCCAGAUUUAUAUUUGCACAUUGAGUUAACGAAAACGUCAACCAGAACUCGUUUAAAUGGUCAGCAUAUUUCCGUCACCAGUUGCGGAAAAAGUUGACUCUACUUUAUUUAUAUUGACACUUGUGAAAUUUUGUUUGGCGUAAACGGACCUUAAUAUAGAAAAAACCAAGUAGUCGCAAACAGCCAAAGAAGAACACACUUUACGCCACAUAUAAACCGAUCCAGAUUCACUCAGUAUUACGGACGAUCGAACGGGUUUCCGCAUCGCUGCUCUGAACCAGACUCACCUGUACAUACCUGCAUCUGUUUCCACGAGUCACAUGACCGCUGGAAUGUGUUUGGGUCCAAACUACUGUAACUGUACCACAGAUGGAUGAUUGUCUCGUCUGUAUAAAUGACUGUAUUUCGCUCCGUGUUUCAGUGUUUUUGCACAGAUAGCGUAGAAUGUUCUCCAGGUGUUCGACAUCUCCAUCUCUGUACAUUACUUCCACCUUUCAUUGUCAUCCAUCUCCAGUGUUUUGUAUAUGAGAGCUGUAUCUUAUGAAGCUGUAUAUUUAUACCGCCUGUGUUUUUGUUUUUCUACAAAAUAUUAGUAGCUGUUUUGAAUUGUAAAGAUUCUUAAAUCUGUGUGGUACUCAGCCAGCUAAUAAAAAAUAUUCAAACACAA